rnacentral:rRNA from 1 species
CUACGGGCGGCACCAGUGGGGAAUAUUGCACAAUGGACGAAAGUCUGAUGCAGCAACGCCGCGUGGAGGAUGACACAUUUCGGUGCGUAAACUCCUUUUAUAUAGGAAGAUAAUGACGGUACUAUAUGAAUAAGCGCCGGCUAACUCCGUGCCAGCAGCCGCGGUAAUACGGAGGGCGCAAGCGUUACUCGGAAUCACUGGGCGUCAAGAGCGUGUAGGCGGAUAGAUAAGUCAGGAGUGAAAUCCUAUGGCUCAACCAUAGAACUGCUCUUGAAACUGUCUAUCUAGAAUAUGGGAGAGUAGAUGGAAUUUCUGGUGUAGGGGUAAAAUCCGUAGAGAUCAGAAGGAAUACCGAUUGCGAAGGCGAUCUACUGGAACAUUAUUGACGCUGAGACGCGAAAGCGUGGGGAGCAAACAGGAUUAGAUACCCUGGUAGUC